rnacentral:misc_RNA from 1 species
GUAACCAUUACCGAAAGGUACUGGUAACCCCUUGAAAAUCCUCCGUGAUCGGGAUCGGGAAUUGCAAUUAUUUCCCUUGAACGAGGAAUUCCUAGUAAGUGUGAGUCAUCAGCUCACGUUGAUUACGUCCCUGCCCUUUGUACACACCGCCCGUCGCUGCCCGGGACUGAGCCGUUUCGAGAAAAGCGGAGACUGCUGUUUUGAAACCUUUCGAGGUGGAGAUUCUUUGGUGGAAACCGCUUUAAUCGCAGUGGCUUGAACCGGGCAAAAGUCGUAACAAGGUUUCCGUGGGUGAACCUGCGGAAGGAUCAUUAACGAGCUUCGAAACAAAUACAUAAUAACAAUUAAAUGUUAUCCAUAAUUAUUAUUGUUACUAUUCAUUUUUUUAUUAGCAGCAACAUAUAGUUUUUUGCUAAUAAAUUGCUAUUUAUGAAUAGUUAAAUGAUAAUAAUUGAUACAACUGAAUUAACGGUGAUAUUCGUUGGUGUCUAUACUUUAUCCAAAUUAUCGCCUAAACCGUCGAUAAUGAUGAAGAUAAAGCGAUAGCUUAAUUAAUUUUUUUUUAUAGAAAUUAAUUAAGUAGACUUAAUAAGCAAAUAUGCUAAAUAUGCUACCAACAAAUAAAAUACACACACAUACAUACAAUUGUAACUUAUUAAGAAAAAAAAAAAAAAAAA